GCAACGCGCAGAACCUUACCAACCCUUGACAUGUCUCGUAUGGUUUCCAGAGAUGGAUUCCUUCAGUUCGGCUGGCGAGAACACAGGUGUUGCAUGGCUGUCGUCAGCUCGUGUCGUGAGAUGUUGGGUUAAGUCCCGCAACGAGCGCAACCCUCGCCUUUAGUUGCCAUCAUUUAGUUGGGCACUCUAGAGGGACUGCCGGUGAUAAGCCGGAGGAAGGUGGGGAUGACGUCAAGUCCUCAUGGCCCUUACGGGUUGGGCUACACACGUGCUACAAUGGCGGCGACAAUGGGCAGCGAAGGGGCGACCCGGUGCAAAUCCCAAAAAGCCGUCUCAGUUCGGAUUGUACUCUGCAACUCGAGUGCAUGAAGGUGGAAUCGCUAGUAAUCGCGUAACAGCAUGACGCGGUGAAUACGUUCCCGGGCCUUGUACACACCGCCCGUCACACCAUGGGAGUUGGUUUUACCCGAAGCUGGUGCGCUAACCGCAAGGAGGCAGCCAACCACGGUAAGGUCAGCGACUGGGGUGAAGUCGUAACAAGGUAGCCCUAGGGGACCUGGGGCUGGAUCACCUCCUUAAGCUUGGAUACCCGGG
rnacentral:rRNA from 1 species